GAUGUGUUGAAACACUCGCUGACCACCAAACCGUGAAGCCGGUUGCCACAGUAACAAGCCUCUGAAGACAAUGCUGCAACCUGGUACCUUCGACAACAAACAGGGAAGAUGACCCUUCAUGCUCUUCUACGGUUCGUCUCCAACUCACCCCUCAUCCAGGCAGCGCACACAACAGGUUACCGGGUCAAGGUCACGGGCACCCUUGGGUGCACGAAGACUAAGGGAAGAGGAGCUGGCGUUGAUGCACCCGAUGAACCACGGCGAACUCCCCUGACCCGGUAAGUAGGCCGCUGCAGACAAGCGGUAAAAAUACAGGUGCAAUGCAACGAAAGAGUAGAGCAAAACACCGAUCAUAUCGGGGAAGUUUCCGGACACAGGCCGCAAACAGAGCAAAGCUAGGCAUGGACUGCGUUUGAUUUGGGCGAAGGAGAGGAAGGAGAGGUGAAGAGUGGAAAAAGAAAAGCAGGUGCACUGACACCACAAGCCCCGCGCGCACACGGUGUGUGUGGGAGGUGAGAACAAACAAUGUAACUGUAUGCAAACGGUGGAAACAGUAGGACGAAGAGGAGGAGGGAGGAGCACAAUUCACUGAUCGAGGGUCAACCGGAAAAAUAUAUAGGCCUGUUAAUGUGGCAGCGAUAAAUUAGGAUGCACGCGUGAUCAUUACAUUUGAGUAGAAAGGGAAAUGCAUUAAAAGUUUUUGACUGAAGGUCAGAGUUUAGUUCGCGUCUUUAAGUGCAUUUCACGCAGUGCUGCUGAGGGCCAAGAUUUUGGGCAGGUGGUGGCCAUUUUUGAGAAUUUAAAUAAAUGCGCCGCUGCCCUGCAAUUAUGAAAUGAAACCGCCCCUUCGGUGACUUACAUCCGUCUUUCAACUACUCCUGCGUUUCAAUUACGAUGGUCACCUGUGCGUAACAGACCGGAAUUUAGGCUUCAGCGUAAAAUAGGAAACAGGCCACAGCUUCGCUCAAUGUUGCUUCUGGGUUACAAAUUUAAAAUAAAAUAAUAAUGUGGGCUAAUAAGACAGAAACUCGUGACUGCGUCAAACCAAACACGGAGUGUAAAAAAAAAUAAAUAAAAAAGCUUCUCCUUUUCUGUCUUUGACUAAUGUAGGCUAUAAAACGAGUCUGUUUCACGCCGUCUUAAACUGAACUGAAGCUUCUGCGCUCCAGGCAGGUUUAUAAACUACUAUAUCGAAAGUAGAUCAUGACUUAUUUAUUACAGGAUAUAACUUUGUAGCUGCGUAAAGCCCUGAAGCCAGUAGUCACGAUAUUGAUUUGAUCAUGCAGUAGCCACUUAGACGUCGCUUUGCCUUCUAUGUUUUAUCGUGUCAGUAGGAAAUCUGCCGCCAGAUUCUAUUUUAAAUAACCAGCAUUGGACCAUAUUCCAGACGACCUGAACCUAUCAACGCAUCAGCGCUAUUCAAUAAGUAUGAACCUUAAAACGUGAAUCUGGUGUUAAAAUUGUCUUGAACAGAUUUCACGAAGAGACAAAAUGGCAACGUAGUGACUCAUUCUGCAAAUAAGCCUUAUUGUCUUAAGUUGUCCCUCUGCUUCGAUCAGGGUCGUCAUUUAGUUGCUUAACUCAAAUAAAAUUAUUACGCUGCGUCAUUCAUUUUAAACUGGGAAUGUAGCCGCAGUCAGUUUUUGCGUUUGGUUUAACAAUGCACUCGAUUUCUUCCAAAUGCCUCCGCAUCUUAUUCGCAGAUUAAGCCUGAAGUGUCGAGUGGAAAGGGGGCAAAAACGGAUGCGGUGCCAGUCUUCUUCUGAAGAGCCCAACUUGCCCUGUUGAGUCCUUUGCUGGGUAACAAAAUACAUAUCCCCGCCGUAGAGCUAACUCCGCCGGUCCACCUUAAAACCCUCUUCCGGUUUUCUGACAUCCCCUUUAAGAGAAAUUUCCAGGCCUCUGUGUGAGCAGCAGGGGGCGCUGUCAGACCGCACCAUGUCAUCGUGCAGACUGUAGCAGUGAGAGGCACAGCGGGGGAAUCAAACACAGUUUCUGAACGCAUUUUUAUACGGAAUACGCGCAUAUUUUGUCGAUUUCGUUUCGACUCUACACUCGGGGAUCCUCAAACGUUUUUGGCACCAUAAAAACACAAAGUUGAGACCCGCGGAACCCCAGAAACCAUAAUUUAUUAAAUCUAAACUCCUAAAUAAUGUAAUUUUUAUGUCUUGUUUUAAUAUAGACUCAACUACACACGGCAGUAAAACAGCUGUGGGAGAGAGGCUUGGAUUAUCAGCCUAUAUAUUAAAUUGGGACCACUCCAUGUGAAUUAAUUUAUAUUGAAAACACAAUAUAAAUACGGCGUGGGACCCCUAGGAGCCCCCUCCGAGGACCCCCGGAGUUUCCCGGAUCCCGGUUUUAAAAGCUUUCUCUCCCCAAAAAACGCUAAACAUCGUCGUGAAGCGCCGCUGUCGCGUCGGUGCGUAAAACCCACCUCAGGCCUACAAGCUCGACCGAAGCCUGUAAAAUUCGUUAAGCGCGCGCUUUGUUUUCGUCGUGUGCACGCGGGGCUGCGAUUAACAAGUGAUCAAAUCAACGAAAUCUUUACACACAAGCUGUUAGAUCAGCGUUACGCAGCUGCGUAACGGAGAGACCCAAUAAACGGGGCGAAUCGUUAUGUAAGCGCCCGCAGUCUGCGCCCCUACCGAGGAGUCCGCUGGA